rnacentral:rRNA from 1 species
CAGUCGCCGCGGUAAUACGUAGGGUGCAAGCGUUAAUCGGAAUUACUGGGCGUAAAGCGUGCGCAGGCGGUUAUAUAAGACAGAUGUGAAAUCCCCGGGCUCAACCUGGGAACUGCAUUUGUGACUGUAUAGCUAGAGUACUGCAGAGGGGGAUGGAAUUCCGCGUGUAGCAGUGAAAUGCGUAGAUAUGCGGAGGAACACCGAUGGCGAAGGCAAUCCCCUGGGCCUGUACUGACGCUCAUGCACGAAAGCGUGGGGAGCAAACAGGAUUAGAUACCCCCGUAGUCCCUGUCUCUUAUAC